AGUGCACUCAUUAUCAGUUGUUGGAUGAAUAAAGCCUGGGAAAUUGCGUGCCAUCAGUUACACUGCCUCAAGAAAAGCACACUAUGUUCUGGUCCAUUUUGUUAGUGUGGGUUGCCUACAUCAGAGGCAGAUGAUGGACCAGAUGUAUAGGACUGCAGAUGAGAUGGUGUGAUAUCUCAGGACCCACCAUCAGAAGUUAGAAACAUCCAGGAAGGUUUUUCGGAAGUAAUGGACAGAAUGUGUAGAGACUGUUCAGGACAUUGUUCCAAGAGAUUGCAAAGACGUCCACAUAUUCUGAUUACAUGAAAAAAUAGGCACGACUAUACUGGAAAAGUAAAAAAUGCAAGAGAACACUGUACUACUCUUGUGUGUGAAUGAGAUUUAAAAAAUGCCCAGAGAAAGCUUAUCGUUAUCGUUACCGCCAGUCUGAAGACUUUUUUGAUGCAGCUCUUCAUGCUAGUCAGAUCUAUCAGGAAUGAGUAUACAUUGCAAAUGGAGGUAAAUAAUCUUUCAUCAAAACGUUGCACGUACUCACAGAUGUUUUAGCUAUGGAAAACUGAGAAAUUUUAAAUAAUAAUUUUUAGAAUAUCUGCUUUAUUUACAGACGUCCACAUUUUUCCAUAACUAAGAGAAUUUGUGAAUAGAAAACAUUUUGAGCUGUGAUAGCCAGUCUUGAGCCACACUUUGGGGAUCAAAUAUAAUAAAUGGAAAAAUAUUUGUUAAGUGCAUUAACCCGUGUGAGGAUCACAUCUGAACAACAUAACUGCAUUUCCUUAGUUAAGAAACACCAAAAACGGUUUUAAAUAUUACGUAAUAUGUUUGAGUACUGGUAUACAGUAAAGUUUGUGGUGAAGAGAAGCUGCAUUCAAAUAUUUUUCAUAAACAUUGCACAAAAGACUUUUUGACCAAGAACUGUGAAAAAAACCAAAUUCCUGCACUGUGCAAGACCAUGAGCCACCAAACUGUUUAUGUAAUCUUAGGAACACAAGGCUGAUUUAGAGUUGUGUUUACCCUAGCAAGAUAAAUUUAACCUGCAGUAAUUUUUACAACAGUAACACUCCAUGGAAAUUUUUGUAACCAGUUCUAACUGGUAUCUGAAUGAUUUAAAAGCUCACUCUUAAGAAACAAUGUUUUGAAAUUAAAGCUUGUUUGUCUAACCUGGGAACUGCAUCAUGAGAUAACCCCAUUCAUGUUAGAGUAGCAAGAUUACAACCUCUGACUGAAAAUGUGUUUAGAAAAUUUUAUUGAGUUAGUCAUCUGCUGUUUUUCCAAGUCACAAGUUUGUUUUACUCUUGGAUGAUAGUCCAUUUCUUACAAAUCUUUUUCACAUUUAUUUCAUUUCUUAAUUUGGAUUUAACACACUCUCAGUAACAUGAGAAUAAGAGAUGUGCAGAGAUGAAGAGAAGAAUUACCUGUGAAUAUUUCUGCAAAUCUAUAUCAGCAUAUGCAUGGAAACAUCCAAGAAACCAUAAAUUACCAAGCAUUUAGAUUAAAACUUGAAUCUAGUGUCUUCCAAAGAUGACACUCCUUUGCAGUAAAAUCUGACCCUCCUAAGCAAUAAAUAGUAAAUGUUGCCACAUAUGUGCCAAGUAUCUACAAAGUGUUAAGUCACAUUUGUAACACAUAGUUAAACUUAUUUCUUUAUUUUCUCUGUUUCAUAAAUCC